rnacentral:rRNA from 1 species
GAUGAACGCUGGCGGCGUGCCUAAUACAUGCAAGUCGAGCGAACAGACGAGGAGCUUGCUCCUCUGACGUUAGCGGCGGACGGGUGAGUAACACGUGGAUAACCUACCUAUAAGACUGGGAUAACUUCGGGAAACCGGAGCUAAUACCGGAUAAUAUAUUGAACCGCAUGGUUCAAUAGUGAAAGACGGUUUUGCUGUCACUUAUAGAUGGAUCCGCGCCGCAUUAGCUAGUUGGUAAGGUAACGGCUUACCAAGGCAACGAUGCGUAGCCGACCUGAGAGGGUGAUCGGCCACACUAGAACUGCGACACGGUCCAGACUCCUACGGGAGGCAGCAGUAGGGAAUCUUCCGCAAUGGGCGAAAGCCUGACGGAGCAACGCCGCGUGAGUGAUGAAGGUCUUCGGAUCGUAAAACUCUGUUAUUAGGGAAGAACAAAUGUGUAAGUAACUAUGCACGUCUUGACGGUACCUAAUCAGAAAGCCACGGCUAACUACGUG